AUUCCUUGCAUCUUGGAAGAAACCCUAUUUUAUUGUUAGGUAUUGUUGUUUUGUAGCUUUAUAGAUUUUGUUAGGAUUUUAUUUAGUAUUUUUCUGUCUAUGUUCAUAAGUGAGAUUGUUCCAUAAGUUUUCCUGUCUUAUAUUAUCCCUGAUCAGUUUUUGCUUCAGGUUUAUAUCAGGCUUAUAAAAGGUAGGGGAGCUUUCCAUAACUGCUUUGUAAUGUUUUAUGAACUAAUUUGUAUGUCAUAGGGGUUGGAUUAGAAUCAUUGGACCUAUGAAAAAAAUUAUCAUUUUUUUUUACUGAGGUAAAAGUACAUAUAACCUAAAUUUUACCAUCUAAUCAUUUUUAAGUGUACAGUGCACUGAUAUUAAAUGCAUUCAUAAUGUGAUGCAACCAUCACCAGUAUCCAUCUCUAUAACUCUUUUCAUCUUGUAAAGCUAAAACUUUGUACUUAUGAAACAAUAACCUCCCUCCUUUUAUUUCUCUGAUUCUGGCAAGCACCUUUCUACUUCCUCUCUUUGGUUUUUUACUUCUGGAAUAGCUACUUCAUACUAGUAAAAUCAUACAGUAUUUGACUUUUUGUGACUGUCUUAUUUCGCUUAGCAUAAUGUCUUCAAGGUUCUUCUAUGGAGCCUUUGUCAAAAUUUCCUUCCUUUUAAGCUGAAUGAUAUUAAGUUGUAUGUAUACACCACAUUUUGCUAUUCAUGUAUCCAUUGAGAAAAAACUUGAGUUACUUCAGUGUUUUAUAUUGUAAUAAUGCUGUUAUGAAUAUGGAUAUA
rnacentral:lncRNA from 1 species